GAUGAAGAACGUAGCGAAAUGCGAUAAGUAAUGUGAAUUGCAGAAUUCAGUGAAUCAUCGAAUCUUUGAACGCACAUUGCGCCCGCCAGUAUUCUGGCGGGCAUGCCUGUCUGAGCGUCAUUUCAACCCUCAUGCCCCUAGGGCGUGGUGUUGGGGAUCGGCCAAAGCCCGCGAGGGACGGCCAGCCCCUAAAUCUAGUGGCGGACCCGUCGUGGCCUCCUCUGCGAAGUAGUGAUAUUCCGCAUCGGAGAGCGACGAGCCCCUGCCGUUAAACCCCCAACUUUCCAAGGUUGACCUCAGAUCAGGUAGGAAUACCCGCUGAACUUAAGCAUAUCAAUAAGCGGAGGA
rnacentral:misc_RNA from 1 species